CGAAAAAGUCCACCGAAGGAGAGUGUGCGACGAUUGGCAAUCGAAUUUAAUGCGCAUUUUCUUUUAAAGUGUCAGCAUCUGGGAACAGCACCACCCCGCAACCACGUCGCCUUUUGUCAACAACAUCCACCCAAUCUGAAUCCCAAUCCCAAAAGUGUAGCCGGAGCCGGAGCCGAUGCCGGAGCCCCAACCCAGCGAGCCGCACUAAUCAACACAAUUACGGAGCAGUCGAAGGAAAACUUUUAUAAUUGGAUAUGAAGACGCGCACAUGCGUUUCUUUAAACUCGGCAUUCCACUCCAUAUGCCGAGGGUCCAAAUAUUGUGACAAGAAAAUGGAACAUCGUAGCUGGAAAAGGCAUCAGUUUCAACUCCCAUUUAGGCAUCCGAUCUCCGUCGCUGCGUACACUGAAAUGCUUUGACAAAUUAUUUUUAAGCCAAUUUACAACUUGAGAAAAAGUAUCAGGAAAACAUAUCACACCAGGGAGGCGAGGCGUGGGAUGGGAAUAGCUCUGGAUCCCCAUGGGUGAGUGGGCACAUUACUCACUCGAGGUGCCAGCCAUCCUGCCAGGCAGCCAGCCCAUGAGCAGUGAGCAGUGAGCAGCGAGCAGCGAGGACAGCCAACCAACCAACCGAUUCCACGUCAAAACCGGCAGGGAGCGAAGAACAGAGACCAGAAAUGAGCAUGGCCAAGAGAAAUGGUAAUGCGGCCGUCUGAGAGCCGAUACCUACACUUUCCACUAUCCUCCACUCCUCACUCUAUCCAAUCCUGAGUAUAUGCAGCAUAGCAGUCGAGAGUUUGUGUGCACUUCUUUUGCAGCAUUUCCACAACGUCUCUCGACAAAAUGUCGGCAUCGUCCACGGCGGAAACCAUUAAUUUUGUCACUUUCGGAAGUGCAAAGUGGAGAAGGUGCACAUGGCAAUCGCAAUCGCUGGGCUGGGGCUGGGAGCUGGGCCAGUGACCAUCCGACAGCAAAACAACUUUCAGCAAUAUUGAGAAUCAUGAAAAGGCAAUUAAAUCCGGCACCUGCUCCAGCUCGCCUGCCAGACAGACACGGAGAGAUUCUCACUGGCGAGGGAGGACCAGCCAUAUGUGUACAUCUUCCCCCCUGACUUCCAAACAAGUUAAUUGCUGGCCAGGCACUGACCGCAAUCACCGCAGGGACAGCGAGAGCUCCCAAGCAUGGGGGUCGCAUGACACUUGAGAACGUUGAGGGGGCCACAGGUCUGCUGACCGCAGAAACCGCACCGCAUACGAAGUAGGGCCGUGUUUAUAGUCAAAUGUUGACUUAAUAAUUACAAAUGCAUAAUUUAAUAGUCAGAAAGUAUGAGCAAAACCGAGGGGAAGCCACGGAACCGACAGCCGAGUCAAGAGUAUGAAAUGAUGCUUAUAAAUAUAACAGUCAGUCUCAGUCUUUUUGGAAGAGUCGGACUCAGUUUUCAAUAACGCACAUGAUGUUGAUGCCACUCUUCC
rnacentral:sRNA from 1 species